AACGAACGCUGGCGGCAGGCCUAACACAUGCAAGUCGAGCGAAGCCUUCGGGCUUAGCGGCGGACGGGUGAGUAACGCGUGGGAACGUGCCCUUUGGUCCGGAAUAGCCCCGGGAAACUGGGAGUAAUACCGUAUGUGCCCUUCGGGGGAAAGAUUUAUCGCCAAAGGAUGGGCCCGCGUUGGAUUAGGGAGUUGGUGGGGUAAUGGCCUACCAAGCCGACGAUCCAUAGCUGGUUUGAGAGGAUGAUCAGCCACACUGGGACUGAGACACGGCCCAGACUCCUACGGGAGGCAGCAGUGGGGAAUCUUAGACAAUGGGGGAAACCCUGAUCUAGCCAUGCCGCGUGAUCGAUGAAGGCCUUAGGGUUGGAAAGAUCUGUCAGUGGGGAAGAUAAUGACUGUACCCACAGAAGAAGCCCCGGCUAACUCCGUGCCAGCCGCCGCAGUAACAC
rnacentral:rRNA from 1 species